rnacentral:lncRNA from 1 species
GUGCGUGCGUCUUGCUGUUAUUUGUUUGAAUUUCAUAUUUAGAUCACCUAUAUCAAAUUUUGAGAGAACGACGAUACUAUAUGGCUGUUGAUUUUGACAAUAGAGUUAACCGUGGCUAUUUCAGUAAAAAAAAUUUAUAAUUGUAGUUUUACUUUCUAUUUUCUUUAGUUUAGUUAAUUCUGGCUAUAAGUUCAAUUUGAUUUUUAAGUUUAGUUAAAUAGUAUAUAAUUUUUGUUAAAUAGUAUAUAAUUUAAGUUUAGUUAAAAAUUUUAUUGAAUAAAAAUUUUUGUUCAACAGUGUAAGGUGCAUGUGAAUAUGAAGCUUUGUUAUCCAGUUUUCUCCUAAAACUCUUUCAGAAAAUUGACUCAGUUUCAAUGUGCUUUAAUAUUGUUGGAGAGGGCAAUAGAAAAAUUGGGAUGGGGGGCAAUUUCAUGAUCUUUUGGCUUCUUGUGUUCUUGAGUCCGAUAUUGAGGCAUGCAUUCUAUAUAGAAUUCUUGUUUUUUAACUUAAAAUCAAUUUAAUGGCACAACCUUAAGUGGAAGAAAGGGAUGGGGCAUGCAAGUGUAGCAGCAAGGUGCACAUGCUGUGCAGCACUGCACUUGCUGCAAGUGCAGCAGCAAGGUGCACAUGUUGUGCAGCACUGCACUUGUUGCAAGUGCAGCAGCAACGACACAUGCUGUGCAACACUGCACUUGCUGCAAGUGCAACAACAAGCAUCUGUUGUGCAUAAAUGCUGUGCAGUGCAGCAUUGCACUUGCUGCAAGUGCAGCAGCCAGGUGCACAUGCUGCCCAGCAAUGCAUUUGCAGCCAGUGCACUAUGCACAACAGCACUUGCUGCAAGUGCAGUCUGAGCUACUGUUGUGCACAACAACACUUGACCGAUUGACUGUAAUUAAAAUCAUAAUCAAAAUUAUCUCAAUUUACUUCAAUUCCUCCUCCCAUUUUUAUGAAUUUAAUUUAUAUAUUUUUAAUAUAUAUAUCUUGUGUAGGAAAAUGAAUGCCAAUCGACAGUGGAUGUAUAAUAGGCUCAAGGAUGGGUUGUUGAAUACUGAAUUUUUAAACGGUUUAGAGGAGUUCAUACAAUUUGCUUCAACCCAUCCUGAAUGUAUGGAUGGUAUGAAUAUAAGAUGUCCUUGUAGUAUGAGAAGGUGUUCGAAUCGCAAAUUCCUCUGUGUGGACGAUGUACGAUAUCAUGUGAUGAAAAAUGGUUUCGUCCCUAAUUACUACAGGUGGACAGCACAUGGUGAAUGUUGGGAUGAUCAAGGAACCUCUAGUGUGCUAUUGUCUGAAAUUAUCAUGGAAAACGAUUUUCAAACUGGGGCUAAUGGCCGAUACCAUGAAAUGGUACUUGAAGGGUUUGGUUUACCGUCUCAAAUUGAAUUCAUGGAGGCACCUAAUGUCGAGGCACAAAGGUUGUAUGAAAUGUUACAAGCAGCAAGUGAAGAGUUAUGGCCAGGAUGCAAUAAGCACAUAAAACUGUCUGUUGUGGCACGUUUGAUGAACAUGAAACCGGAGCAUCAUUUCUCUAUAAAAUGUUUUGAUCAGAUUGUCGAGUUUGUGAAAGAAGUUCCACCCGAAGAUAAUGUGCUUCCUGAUAAUUUUUACAAAACGAAAAAUUUAAUUGAGGGUUUAGGUCUACCAGUGGAAAAGAUUAAUUGUUGCAGAAAUAAUUGCAUGAUAUAUUGGUCUGGUGAUGCUGAGUUACAAGAAUGCAAGUUUUGCCAGCUUCCUAGAUAUAAACGCACGGUAAGCAGCUUGACAAAGCAAGUUGUUCAGAAGCCAUAUAAGAAGAUGUAUUACUUUCCUCUCACUCCAAGGUUACAACGACUUUAUGCAUCAGACGCAACAACACCCCAUAUGAGAUGGCAUGCUGAACAUGAAUAUGAGGAAGGGGUCAUGCAUCAUCCAUCUGAUUCUCCUGCAUGGAAACACUUCAAUGCAUGUUAUCCAUUAUUUGGAUCAGAGAUAAGGAACGUGAUGCUUGGAUUGUCUACUAACGAAUUCCAACCAUUUGGACAAUCUGGCCAACAAUACUCAUCUUGGCCCAUCAUUCUGACACCAUAUAAUCUUCCGCCAUGGCUGUGUAUGAAGUCAGAAUAUAUGUUUCUCACUGUUAUAGUUCCGAGCCCAAAUAAUUCUAAAUUUAAAAUUGAUAUAUUCUUACAACCUUUAAUCGAAGAACUAAAACAAUUAUGGAACAUGGGGGUUGAGACAUAUGAUGUGGAUAAGAAGCAAAAUUUUCUCAUGCGGGUUGCUUUGCUAUGGACCAUUAGUGACUUUCCUGCUUAUGCCAUGCUUUCUGGUUGGAGCACUGCAGGAAGGCUUGCAUGCCCAUAUUGUAUGGAUAACACUAAUGCAUUUACUUUGCCAAGAGGUGGCAAACAAUGUUGGUUUGACAAUCAUCGCAAAUUUUUGAACCAUAACCAUUCAUGGCGGAAGAAUAAAUCAUGGUUUAGAAAAAAUAAAGUUGUAACUGAACAUGCACCUCUAGUAAGGACUGGAGAGGAAAUUUUGCAUGAGAUAGAGAGUCUUGGAUUAAUGAGAGUGACAGAUCCAGGUUCAGAUGUUGUUAAUGCUGUUAUUAGUAAGACAUGUGGAUGGAGGAAACACAGCAUAUUCUGGGAUUUACCUUAUUGGAGUUCCUUGCUUAUUAGACACAACCUUGAUGUAAUGCAUAUUGAAAAGAAUUUUUUUGAUAACUUGUUCAAUACCAUUAUGAAUAUAGAGGGUAAAACAAAAGAUAAUGCAAAAGCAAGAGAAGAUAUGAGGGAAAUAUGUCGGUGGCCUGAGUUGGAGAUUAAUGCAGAAACUGGCAGGUAUCCAAAAGCAAUAUAUGCAUUGGACAAACCAGCAAAACAAGUUAUUUGUGAAUGGAUGAAGGGACUCAGAUUUCCUGAUGGUUAUGUGUCUAACAUGGCUCGAUGUGUCGACAUGAACAAGUACAGAUUAUUUGGAAUGAAAAGUCAUGAUUGUCAUAUUUUCAUGCAAAGGUUGUUGCCUAUUGCUUUUCGUGAAUUAUUACCAAUGAGAGUGUGGGAAGCAAUUACCGAGCUAAGUAUUUUCUGUAAGCAACUAAUGAGUACGAUCUUACGGGAGGAAGAUAUGCAAAGGCUUGAAGAGGACAUUCCGGUUAUACUAUGCAAAUUGGAGCGAAUAUUUCCUCCGGGUUUCUUCGACUUGAUGGAACAUCUUCCGAUUCAUCUUGCAUAUGAAGCUCGCAUUGGGGGUCCAGUGCAAUAUCGUUGGAUGUAUCCUUAUGAGCGGUAAUAAUUAAUCAUUGCUGCUUUCUCAAUAUAUCAAUUAUUUAAUAUGCUUAAUUUGUAUGCUAAUUAAUUAUGUAAUACAGGUACAAUGGAAUUUUAAAGAAGAAUAUUAAAAAUAAAGCCAAAGUUGAAGGAUCAAUUACUUACUUGGUAGAAGAAGCAUCUUCUUUUUGUGCUUACUAUUUUGAGUCACAUGUUUCUACAAGGCAUCGACGGGUUCCACGUAAUGAUGAUGGUGGUAUAGUGGAAGAUCAGGAGAUUGAAGGAAAUUUAUCAAUAUUCAAAUAUCCGGGUAGACCCAUAGGUCAAUCAAAGAAAAGGAUAUUGACAAAGGAUGAAAGAAAUGCAGCUCAUUUAUAUAUCUUACUAAAUUGUGAAGAAGUUUCGCCAUUUAUCAAGUAAGUGAAAUUCACCGCCAAAUUAUAAAUUUAAUAGUCUUCUAAAAUGCAUAUAUAUUCAUGGAAAUAACCAAAGUUGUAUAAUUUCUCCUAAUGUAAGAAUAUAUAUUGAGGAACUACGGAGGAUAUCACCUAACAUUACCGAUGGGAAGGUAGACAUCACAUUGGAGGAUAACUUUCCCACAUGGUUCAAAGCAUAUGUAAGCUUUAUAAUACUUGCAAUACUAUGCUGAUUUUGGUGAAUGAAUCAAAAUUAAUUUUAUAUGUUCACUUUAUGUAAUAGGUACAUGAACCAACCAAUACAGUGAACAAUCCUCUCAUCCAAGAUUUAGCCAAAGGACCUCUAAAUACAGUGAAUGUGUACACAUGAUACUAUGUAAAUGGAUACAAAUUUCACACUGAGGGACGAAGUGCUAAUCGAAUGACGGUGAAUUGUGGUGUAUGCAUUAAAGGAACGAACUAUAGUGAUCAAUCAAGUGAUUAUUAUGGUAAGUUGAUAGAGGUUUUUGAAGUAGAGUACCCGGCUUUACCUAUGAAGCGGACAGUUCUAUUCCACUGUGAAUGGUUUGAUCCUACCCCAAAUGUUGGAGUGAAAAUUCAUUUAAUGUAUAAUAUUGUGGAUGUAAAUCAAAGAAGGAGAUUUCAUAAGUAUGAGCCAUUUGUUUUGGCUAGCCAGGCACAACAAGUUUAUUACAUUCCUUAUCCUUCUUUAAGACGAGCAAGGUCUGAUUGGCAAUCUGUGAUAAAAAUUAAAGCCAGGCCAGUGAUUGAAUUACCAAAUGUUGUUGUACCUUCGACAGCGUCAACAACAGAUGCAUAUCAAGAAGAUACUGUAACUUUGCAGCCUUUAGUCCUAAAUGAAGAAGGAUUACCUGAGACAUUAAAUGAUCCAACGGGUGGUGAAGUGUUUAUUUCGGAAUUAGUUGAAGAAGAAGAAGAAGAUGAAGAGACAUAUCAUUAUUCAACUUCAGACAAUAAUGAAUAUUACUUAGAUUAGUCAACUCUAAGCUGUAUAGUAAACUUUUUUGCUAUAAUUAUCUUUUUUAUUAUUGUUGAUUAUUUUUACUUUUACAACAUACUAAUCUCCUGUUAGAUAUUUUUUUUUUGUGCAGAUAUGGCCAGGGGUAAAGGUAAAGAAGAUGCACGUAAUGCUGAUCGUGGUGUUUUAAUGGGUACAGGUAGAGGCCGAGGCCGAGGUGAUCCAGAAAUUGUUCGUGGUCGAGGCACUAUAGCCACUGCACCUUCUUCAACUGACUUUAGAGCCCCUGCACUUACUCCAACAACCCCUGUAUCAUACUUAGCCCCCUACAGCCCCUCCACUUGCUCCACUUGCCCCCAUUGCCCCAACUUCUUCAAGUUCUGUUCCUGGAUCGAGUGCUAGUCGAUCUGCAUCGGGCAUGGGAGAUUACUCGUAUACAUCCUCAUCACAUGCUACUAGGACCUACUGUUAUGUGCAUGCAAGCAGAAAGUAAGUAUAAUGUAUAACAUUACUUAUCAUUGUAUUACAUAUCUUUGUUAUUAGUUUUCAUUUUGGUUAAUUAUUUAAAAAUAAUUAUAUUGAAUAUUUAUAAAUUAUGCUCGCAUUAUUAAACUAUUACAGUCUUAUGCCUUCUGAGAAGACAUCUGGUGCCUGCACAAAGAUUUUUCAAAAGUACAAUGUUGAGGAGGGUUCUUCCUGGAAGAAUAUCCCACAAUCCACAAAAUAUUUUUAUUUCAGAGAGUUUGAGGUACGCAAUAUAUUAUGCAUUCUAACAAAGAUAAAAUGUCUUAUAAUCUAUGUUGUAUUAUACAUGUGUUUUUUAAAUUAAUUUACAGAAAGAAUUUCACUGGGAUGAGGGACGUGCUGCAAUAGUGAGAAAGGCAUGGAAUAAAAAAGCAGCUACCCGAUACAAAGACUUUCUGACAAAUGAAAAGAAGAAAAAAAAGAGGAGUGCUUAUAUAUCAAUUGAAGUUUGGGAUAAAUGGAAUUUAGAUUGGAGUACUCUAGAGCAUGUAGCAAAGUCAAUGAAGUACUCAAAGAACCACCUAACAGAGAAGGGAGGUGAAGGAGCUGGUCCUUCUAGACAUACAGGUGAGUCCAUAACACAUGAGGAGCAUACUAGACGCAUACAAAAUGCUAACACAGACAAAGUUCCUCCAACAGCAGCUGAGUUAUUUCUCCACACCCAUACAAAGAAGAGUGAUCGCAACAAAUUUGUUGAUAAACGAGCUGAAAUUGUUUAUGUAAGUUUCUAUAUAAACAAGUUGUCUUUCUAAGUAAUAUCUUGCAAGUAUGAUUUUGAUGUCUAUGUAUUGAUUUUUAGUUGUGUAAUUGAUUUUGAGUUGUUGAUUGAUUUUGAGUUGUGUGAUUGAUUUUCAGUUGCAAGCAUGAUUCUGAUAUCUCAGUUGUGUGAUUGAUUUUGAGUUGUGUGAUUGAUUUUCAGUUGCAAGUAUGAUUCUGAUAUCUAGGUGAUUCUCACAAGGAAAUUGUUUAUGAUUCUCAGUUGUGUGAUUGAUUUUGAGUUGUGUAAUUGAUUUUCAGUUGCAAGUAUAAUUCUGAUAUCUAGGUGAUUCUCACAAGGAAAUUGUUUAUGAUUCUCAGUUGUGUGAUUGAUUUUGAGUUGUUGAUUGAUUUUGAGUUGUGUGAUUGAUUUUCAGUUGCAAGUAUGAUUUUGAUAUUUAGGUGAUUCUCACAAGGAAAUUGUUUAUGAUUCUCAGUUGUGUGAUUGAUUUUGAGUUGUAUGAUUGAUUUUCAGUUGCAAGUAUGAUUUUGAUAUCUAGGUGAUUCUCACAAGGAAAUUGUUUAUGAUUCUCAGUUGUGUGAUUGAUUUUUCUAUUAUGAUAUCUUGCAAAUAUUGUAAAUGUGAUAUCUUGCAGGUAUUAUAAUUGUCAUAUCUUGUAGGUAUUAGCAUUUUUCUUUACUUUAGUAUUCAAAUUGAACUGUUAUUCUGUGAUUUUCUAGGAAAAUUAUAUGAAGCUAAAAGAACAACAUUCAAGCCAGUAUGUGAGAUCAGAUCAUGUGGAAGGAGAUGGAGGAACUAUUAAUGAGGAUCAAUUGUUCAUUACUGCAGCAGGAGGAUGGCAAGGAAGUCGAGUUUAUAGUUUAGGUAGUGCUUCCUCUUCUGCCUUCUCUCAAACAGGAACUGGGGGAACAUCAACAAAUGUUCCAUCAUCCCAAUCACCAGAAUGGAAGAAGGAAAUUGAAGCAAAGUUUGAAGAGAAGUAUAAUAGUUUGCAGAAACUUGUAGAAGACCAAAAUCAGAUGAUAGCUCAAAUGCGUGAUGAACUACAGGCAGCGAAGAUGGGACAGCAGUCUUCCUCAUUGAUGCCAUCAUCAUCUGAUAUUUCUCCAGCUCAUAGAUCUCUUGGUGAUUCACAUAUGGAUUAGCAUGAUGUCAUUUCUCACUGACUUAAUUAAUAUAUUUUAUGAUAUGAAUUUGAUACUAUUUGGAUCCAUUAUGUAUUUUGAGAUAUUUUAAGUUUCUUA